GUUGUGAGGUUAAGCGACUAAGCGUACACGGUGGAUGCCCUGGCAGUCAGAGGCGAUGAAGGACGUGCUAAUCUGCGAUAAGCGUCGGUAAGGUGAUAUGAACCGUUAUAACCGGCGAUUUCCGAAUGGGGAAACCCAGUGUGAUUCGUCACACUAUCAUUAACUGAAUCCAUAGGUUAAUGAGGCGAACCGGGGGAACUGAAACAUCUAAGUACCCCGAGGAAAAGAAAUCAACCGAGAUUCCCCCAGUAGCGGCGAGCGAACGGGGAGCAGCCCAGAGCCUGAAUCAGUGUGUGUGUUAGUGGAAGCGUCUGGAAAGGCGUGCGAUACAGGGUGACAGCCCCGUACACAAAAAUGCACAUACUGUGAGCUCGAUGAGUAGGGCGGGACACGUGGUAUCCUGUCUGAAUAUGGGGGGACCAUCCUCCAAGGCUAAAUACUCCUGACUGACCGAUAGUGAACCAGUACCGUGAGGGAAAGGCGAAAAGAACCCCGGCGAGGGGAGUGAAAAAGAACCUGAAACCGUGUACGUACAAGCAGUGGGAGCACGCUUAGGCGUGUGACUGCGUACCUUUUGUAUAAUGGGUCAGCGACUUAUAUUCUGUAGCAAGGUUAACCGAAUAGGGGAGCCGAAGGGAAACCGAGUCUUAACUGGGCGUUAAGUUGCAGGGUAUAGACCCGAAACCCGGUGAUCUAGCCAUGGGCAGGUUGAAGGUUGGGUAACACUAACUGGAGGACCGAACCGACUAAUGUUGAAAAAUUAGCGGAUGACUUGUGGCUGGGGGUGAAAGGCCAAUCAAACCGGGAGAUAGCUGGUUCU
rnacentral:rRNA from 1 species